ACCGCACACAGUGUAUAUCAACACAGAACUAAACACACAGUGUAUAACACCACACACUCGGUAUAACACCACACACUAUGUAUAACACAACACCACACACAGUGUAUAUCACCACACACAGUGUAUAACACACUAUGUAUAACAACACACACUAUGUAUAACACCACACACUAUGUAUAACACCACACACUAUGUAUAACAACACACACUAUGUAUAACACCACACACUAUGUAUAACACCACACACUUUGUAUAAUAUCACAGACUGUGUAUAACACCACACACUAUGUAUAACACCACACACUGUGUAUAACACCACACACUAUGUAUAACACCACACACUUUGUAUAAUAUCACAGACUGUGUAUAUCACCACACACGUUGUAUAAUACCACACACUAUGUAUAACACUACAGAUAAAUACAUAUUAAUAAAUAAAUGUAAAAAGUACCACACAGCACCGAUAACACACACACACACACUUCUUGUGUAAAACACUUUAUAUAACAUUAUAUAGCAGUACACACACUAUGUAGAACAUAAACACACUGUAUCCUACACACCACAGACAAACAUUUAGAAAGUGACACAACUAUUUACCACAGACAACACACACAAAUUGUAUGUAAAACAAACACACGGUCUGUGACCCAAACACUCAGGUUCCAGGAAUAGAACGUGUGAGAACCGAGGGACACACACACUAUACAAUGUAUUCCUAUUAGAAUGUACUGUCAGUGUGGGCUUUUAUAUAUAAUGAUAUAAGGCAGCUAUCCAUCUCUCUCUGAUAAUAUGAUCUAUUGGACACAGAUCUGUCCCAUUCACAGAUACAUUUAUUCAUCAGACCUGCUGUGUACCUUAUCUGCCACCACAACCUGUCCGAAUUCAUUUAACUCAUAAUGGAAAGGUUCUUCCAUGAAAUACCUUGAUCCUUAUCUGAAUACAUCAUACUAGCUCCAAAUAACUGCUAACAAACCUUUGUAUUUAUUAUUUUCAGACAGAUCUGUAUUGUGCAAAAGAGAGCCUUAACUGCUCAGGUUUAAUUAGGUUACACGAG